GACGAACGCUGGCGGCGUGCCUAACACAUGCAAGUCGAACGGAGAUACGAUUUCGGUUGUAUCUUAGUGGCGAACGGGUGAGUAACGCGUGAGCAACCUGACCUUUAGAGGGGGAUAACACUUGGAAACAGGUGCUAAUACCGCAUAAGACCACGACCUGACAUCAGGAUGAGGUCAAAGGAGCAAUCCGCUAAAGGAGGGCUCGCGUCCAUUAGAUAGAUGGCGGGGUAACGGCCCACCAUGUCGACGAUGGGUAGCCGAGCUGAGAGGCUGAUCGGCCACACUGGAACUGAGACACGGUCCAGACUCCUACGGGAGGCAGCAGUGGGGAAUAUUGGGCAAUGGGCGCAAGCCUGACCCAGCAACGCCGCGUGAGGGAAGAAGGCCUUC
rnacentral:rRNA from 1 species